rnacentral:rRNA from 1 species
AUUGAACGCUGGCGGCAGGCCUAACACAUGCAAGUCGAGCGGAUGAAGGGAGCUUGCUCCUGGAUUCAGCGGCGGACGGGUGAGUAAUGCCUAGGAAUCUGCCUGGUAGUGGGGGAUAACGUCCGGAAACGGGCGCUAAUACCGCAUACGUCCUGAGGGAGAAAGUGGGGGAUCUUCGGACCUCACGCUAUCAGAUGGGCCUAGGUCGGAUUAGCUAGUUGGUGGGGUAAAGGCCUACCAAGGCGACGACCCGUAACUGGUCUGAGAGGAUGAUCAGUCACACUGGAACUGAGACACGGUCCAGACUCCUACGGGAGGCAGCAGUGGGGAAUAUUGGACAAUGGGCGAAAGCCUGAUCCAGCCAUGCCGCGUGUGUGAAGAAGGUCUUCGGAUUGUAAAGCACUUUAAGUUGGGAGGAAGGGCAGUAAGUUAAUACCUUGCUGUUUUGACGUUACCAACAGAAUAAGCACCGGCUAACUUCGUG